rnacentral:lncRNA from 1 species
GGACAGACAGCUCGCAGAGGGCGAGGGGUGCGUGUGCGUCCGCUUCUCACCUCAGGUCUCCCUUCGGCCCCGCUGCCCUCCCUCGCGGCUGGGUGACAGCUGGGUCCGGUCCGUCGCGGGCUGCCUGGGGUGCGAGGAUCGCGCACCCCGUCUUCGCGCGCUGUGCCUGCCGCCCCGCCCCCUCGUCCCGCCCGUCCCGUCGCGUCGCGUCCCGUCCCCUCGGGUGCUGCCAGCCGGGUGCUGAUGCGAGUCGGUGGCAGCGAGGACAUUUUCUGACUCCCUGGCCCCUGACACGGCUGCACUUUCCAUCCCGUCGCGGGGCCGGCCGCUACUCCGGCCCCAGGAUGCAGAAUGUGAUUAAUACUGUGAAGGGAAAGGCACUGGAAGUGGCUGAGUACCUGACCCCGGUCCUCAAGGAAUCAAAGUUUAAGGAAACAGGUGUAAUUACCCCAGAAGAGUUUGUGGCAGCUGGAGAUCACCUAGUCCACCACUGUCCAACAUGGCAAUGGGCUACAGGGGAAGAAUUGAAAGUGAAGGCAUACCUACCAACAGGCAAACAAUUUUUGGUAACCAAAAAUGUGCCGUGCUAUAAGCGGUGCAAACAGAUGGAAUAUUCAGAUGAAUUGGAAGCUAUCAUUGAAGAAGAUGAUGGUGAUGGCGGAUGGGUAGAUACAUAUCACAACACAGGUAUUACAGGAAUAACGGAAGCCGUUAAAGAGAUCACACUG